rnacentral:rRNA from 1 species
AACAAAGCGGAAAAGGGCACACGGUGGAUGCCUUGGCAUGCAGAGGCGAUGAAGGACGUGUAAAGCUGCGAUAAGCUACGGGGAACUGCAAAAAAGUGUAGAUCCGUAGAUUUCCGAAUGGGGCAACCCACCCGUAAGGGGACCCGAAAGGGAGCGAACCCGGCGAACUGAAACAUCUAAGUAGCCGGAGGAAAGGACAUCAACAGAGACUCCCUUAGUAGCGGCGAGCGAACGGGGACCAGGCCAGUGCCAUCUUUGAAUUUACCGGAACGAGCUGGAAAGCUCGGCCAUAGUGGGU